UGGGGAAUAUUGCGCAAUGGGCGGAAGCCUGACGCAGCGACGCCGCGUGGGGGAUGACGGCCUUCGGGUUGUAAACCUCUUUCAGCAGGGACGAAGCGAAAGUGACGGUACCUGCAGAAGAAGCACCGGCCAACUACGUGCCAGCAGCCGCGGUAAUACGUAGGGUGCAAGCGUUGUCCGGAAUUAUUGGGCGUAAAGAGCUCGUAGGCGGUUUGUUGCGUCGGCUGUGAAAUCCCGAGGCUCAACCUCGGGUCUGCAGUCGAUACGAGCAAACUAGAGUGUUGCAGGGGAGACUGGAAUUCCUGGUGUAGCGGUGAAAUGCGCAGAUAUCAGGAGGAACACCGGUGGCGAAGGCGGGUCUCUGGGCAACAACUGACGCUGAGGAGCGAAAGCGUGGGGAGCGAACAGGAUUAGAUACCCUGGUAGUCCACGCCGUAAACGUUGGGCGCUAGGUGUGGGGCUCAUUCCACGAGUUCCGUGCCGCAGCUAACGCAUUAAGCGCCCCGCCUGGGGAGUACGGCCGCAAGGCUAA
rnacentral:rRNA from 1 species